UUCGGGUUGUAAACCUCUUUCAGUAGGGAAGAAGCGAAAGUGACGGUACUGCAGAAGAAGCGCCGGGCUAACUACGUGCCAGCAGCCGCGGUAAUACGUAGGGCGCAAGCGUUAUCGGGAAUUAUUGGGCGUAAAGAGCUCGUAGGCGGUUUGUCGCGUCUGCCGUGAAAGUCCGGGGCUUAACUCCGGAUCUGCGGUGGGUACGGGCAGACUUGAGUGAUGUAGGGGAGACUGGAAUUCCUGGUGUAGCGGUGAAAUGCGCAGAUAUCAGGAGGAACACCGAUGGCGAAGGCAGGUCUCUGGGCAUUAACUGACGCUGAGGAGCGAAAGCAUGGGGAGCGAACAGGAUUAGAUACCCUGGUAGUCCAUGCCGUAAACGUUGGGCACUAGGUGUGGGGGACAUUCCACGUUUUCCGCGCCGUAGCUAACGCAUUAAGUGCCCCGCCUGGGGAGUACGGCCGCAAGGCUAAAACUCAAAGGAAUUGACGGGGGCCCGCACAAGCGGCGGAGCAUGCGGAUUAAUUCGAUGCAACGCGAAGAACCUUACCAAGGCUUGACAUGAACCGGAACGGCGCAGAGAUGUGUCGGCCACUUGUGGCCGGUUUACAGGUGGUGCAUGGUUGUCGUCAGCUCGUGUCGUGAGAUGUUGGGUUAAGUCCCGCAACGAGCGCAACCCUCGUUCCAUGUUGCCAGCGGGUUAUGCCGGGGACUCAUGGGAGACUGCCGGGGUCAACUCGGAGGAAGGUGGGGACGACGUCAAAUCAUCAUGCCCCUUAUGUCUUGGGCUUCACGCAUGCUACAAUGGCCGGUACAAAGGGUUGCGAUGCUGUGAGGUGGAGCUAAUCCCAAAAAGCCGGUCUCAGUUCGGAUUGAGGUCUGCAACUCGACCUCAUGAAGUCGGAGUCGCUAGUAAUCGCAGAUCAGCAACGCUGCGGUGAAUACGUUCCCGGGCCUUGUACACACCGCCCGUCAAGUCACGAAAGUUGGUAACACCCGAAGCCGGUGGCCUAACCCCUUGUGGGAGGAGCCGUCGAAGGACC
rnacentral:rRNA from 1 species